AAUAUUGGACAAUGGGCGAAAGCCUGUUCCAGUCAGGCCGCGUGUGUGAAGAAGGUCUUCGGAUGGAAAAGCAUUUUAAGUUGGGAGGAAGGGUCGGAGAUUAAUACUCUGCAAUCUUGUCGUUACCGACAGAAUAACUACCGGCUAACUACGUUCCAGCAGCCGCGGUAAUACGAAGGGUGCAAGCGUUAAUCGGAAUUACUGGGCGUAAAGCGCGCGUAGGUGGUUCGUUAAGUUGGAUGUGAAAGCCCCGGGCUCAACCUGGGAAAUGCAUCCAAAACUGGCGAGAUAGAGUACGGUAGAGGGUGGUGGAAUUUCCUGUGUAGCGGUGAAAUGCGUAGAUAUAGGAAGGAACACCAGUGGCGAAGGCGACCACCUGGACUGAUACUGACACUGAGGUGCGAAAGCGUGGGGAGCAAACAGG
rnacentral:rRNA from 1 species